ACAGGCUCUGUGUGAGAACACCAGCAGGAAGCAUGGAAAAAGGAGAGAAACAGCUAGAAUGAUUUAUUACAGCAACUUUGGACAGGCAAUCUGAGAAUGGAGAUAGAGAACAGAUUUAUUUUAUUUACACAAAGCCAACAUACUGUAUUGGGGACAUUAACCUGUUAUGGGAAGCAAGUCUGUGCUUCCCAAAAAGGGGUAUGCAGUAGAGGUGUCACUUACAGCAAG